rnacentral:lncRNA from 1 species
AGACUGCCAAUUUACACACCAUUUUAUACAGUUACAGUAUGGUAUGGUGAACAAAAUGCCUCAAUGCAGCCAGUUCUGGAGCUUUGGCUAGACUAUGAACAGUAGACAUCAAAAGAUGAUCAUCUGAAGGGCCA